GGGGAUUUAGCUCAGUGGUUCCAGUGUCUGCCUCAUAAGCACAAAGACCCAAGUUCAAUCCCCA
rnacentral:tRNA from 1 species